UAAAAGGGGUGAGAAUCCCCUUCGCCGAAAACCCAAGGUUUCCUACGCGAUGCUCGUCAUCGUAGGGUUAGUCGGGUCCUAAGCAAAGUCCGAAAGGGGUAUGCGAUGGAAAAUUGGUUAAUAUUCCAAUACCAACAUUAUUGUGCGAUGGAAGGACGCUUAGAGUUAAAGGAGCCAGCUGAUGGAAGUGCUGGUCGAAAGGUGUAGAUUAAAAUCCAGGCAAAUCCGGAUUUUUUUAAGUCAAAACCCUACAGGCGUUUGAAGUUCUUCGGAAUGGAUAGCGAAUCCUUGAUACUGUCGAGCCAAGAAAAGUUUCUAAGUUUAGAUAAUGUUGCCCGUACCGUAAACCGACACAGGUGGGUGGGAUGAGUAUUCUAAGGCGCGUGGAAGAACUCUCUUUAAGGAACUCUGCAAAAUAGCACCGUAUCUUCGGUAUAAGGUGUGCCUACCAGGGUGUUAAAGCCCUAGAGGUUACAACAAAGAGUCCCUCCCGACUGUUUACCAAAAACACAGCACUCUGCUAACACGUAAGUGGAUGUAUAGGGUGUGACGCCUGCCCGGUGCUCGAAGGUUAAUUGAUGGAGUUAGCUUUGCGAAGCUCUUGAUCGAAGCCCGAGUAAACGGCGGCCGUAACUAUAACGGUCCUAAGGUAGCGAAAUUCCUUGUCGGUUAAAUACCGACCUGCAUGAAUGGCGUAACGAGAUGGGAGCUGUCUCAAAGAGGGAUCCAGUGAAAUUGUAGUGGAGGUGAAAAUUCCUCCUACCCGCGGCAAGACGGAAAGACCCCGUGGACCUUUACUAUAGCUUGACACUGCUAUUUGGAUAAAGAUGUGCAGGAUAGGUGGGAGAUUAUGAUCCAUAGAUGCUAGUCUAUGAGGAGUCAUCCUUGAGAUACCACUCUUCUUUAUUUGGGUAGCUAACUAGUAUGAGUUAUCCUCAUAUAGGACAAUGUCUGGUGGGUAGUUUGACUGGGGCGGUCGCCUCCCAAAUAAUAACGGAGGCUUACAAAGGUUGGCUCAAAACGGUUGGAAAUCGUUUGUAGAGUAUAAAGGUAUAAGCCAGCUUAACUGCGAGGCAUACAGGCCAAGCAGAGACGAAAGUCGGUCUUAGUGAUCCGGUGGUUCUGCGUGGAAGGGCCAUCGCUCAAAGGAUAAAAGGUACCCCGGGGAUAACAGGCUGAUCUCCCCCAAGAGCUCACAUCGACGGGGAGGUUUGGCACCUCGAUGUCGGCUCAUCGCAUCCUGGGGCUGGAGCAGGUCCCAAGGGUAUGGCUGUUCGCCAUUUAAAGCGGUACGCGAGCUGGGUUCAGAACGUCGUGAGACAGUUCGGUCCCUAUCUGCCGUGGGCGUAAGAAGAUUGAGGAGAGUUGACCCUAGUACGAGAGGACCGGGUUGAACUAACCACUGGUGUAUCUGUUGUUCUGCCAAGAGCAUCGCAGAGUAGCUAAGUUAGGAUGUGAUAAGAGCUGAAAGCAUCUAAGCUCGAAGCCAACUCCAAGAUUAAUCUUCUUUUAAGAGCUCUUAUAGACUAUAAGUUUGAUAGGCUGGGUGUGUAAUUGAUGUAAGUCAUUUAGCUGACCAGUACUAAUAGCUCGUUUGCUUAUCUUU
rnacentral:rRNA from 1 species